GAUGAACGCUAGCUACAGGCUUAACACAUGCAAGUCGAGGGGUAACGAGAGGAAAGCUUGCUUUCCUUGUUGACGACCGGCGCACGGGUGAGUAACGCGUAUCCAACCUGCCCCCAACUAGGGAAUAACCUUGCGAAAGUAAGACUAAUACCCUAUAAUUUCCUCAGAUGUCAUCUGACGAGGAAUAAAGAUUUAUCGGUAGUGGAUGGGGAUGCGUCUGAUUAGCUUGUUGGCGGGGUAACGGCCCACCAAGACAACGAUCAGUAGGGGUUCUGAGAGGAAGGUCCCCCACAUUGGAACUGAGACACGGUCCAAACUCCUACGGGAGGCAGCAGUGAGGAAUAUUGGUCAAUGGGCGGAAGCCCGAACCAGCCAAGUAGCGUGCAGGAUGACGGCCCUAUGGGUUGUAAACUGCUUUUAUACAGGAAUAAAGUUAGCCACGUGUGGUUAUUUGUAGGUACUGUAUGAAUAAGGACCGGCUAAUUCCGUGCCAGCCGCCGCCGUAA
rnacentral:rRNA from 1 species